rnacentral:rRNA from 1 species
GAAGAAAGCUGGCGGCGUGCUUAACACAUGCAAGUCGAACGGAAAGGCCCUGCUUUUGUGGGGUGCUCGAGUGGCGAACGGGUGAGUAACACGUGAGUCACCUGCCCUUGACUUUGGGAUAACUUCAGGAAACUGGGGCUCAUACCGGAUAGGAGCUCCUGCUGCAUGGUGGGGGUUGGAAAGUUUCGGCGGUUGGGGAUGGACUCGCGGCUUAUCAGCUUGUUGGUGGGGUAGUGGCUUACCAAGGCUUUGACGGGUAGCCGGCCUGAGAGGGUGACCGGCCACAUUGGGACUGAGAGACGGCCCAGACUCCUACGGGAGGCAGCAGUGGGGAAUAUUGCACAAUGGGCGGAAGCCUGAUGCAGCAACGCCGCGUGCGGGAUGACGGCCGUCGGGUUGUAAACCGCUUUCGCCUGUGACGAAGCGUGAGUGACGGUAAUGGGUAAAGAAGCACCGGCUAACUACGUG